ensembl:lncRNA
GCAGAGCGGCAGUUUGUGCUCACAGAUGGUGACGGUGUGGAGAGACGGUGGUGUUUCCUCAGAAGAACCAGCAGAGUCACAAAGGACACCAGUCCAUCUCACCACCUUGACUUGCUGACUGAUGUUCGUCUACACUGCACAGAGGAAAUCAGCUGACCGAGAUGGGCAGCAUAUCAGUCUUGGACUGUCUAACCUGCAGCACUGAAUGACCACCACACAUGAGCAUGUUCCUGCAACAUUCAGCAUCUGAUCCUUCAUCUGUGUGCUUCUGCUUUUGUGUCACAUGUCAAACAGCUGGAGAGGAAACUACACCAGCGUACUGAGAUGUUUCACCAACACGUGCCAGAUGCUGUUCCUUCAUGGUGACAUCACCAGAGACAGCCCCGCCCACCUCAGGACCUCGCCAUUGAUCAUGAUGAUUAUAAUGAUGACAGCGAGCGGAACUAAGACUGUAAAAAUCCACGAC